rnacentral:rRNA from 1 species
GACGAACGCUGGCGGCGUGCUUAACACAUGCAAGUCGAACGGAAAGGCCUCUUUCGGGGGGUACUCGAGUGGCGAACGGGUGAGUAACACGUGAGUAACCUGCCCUUGACUUUGGGAUAACUUCAGGAAACUGGGGCUAAUACCGGAUAGGAGCUCCUGCUGCAUGGUGGGGGUUGGAAAGUUUCGGCGGUUGGGGAUGGACUCGCGGCUUAUCAGCUUGUUGGUGGGGUAGUGGCUUACCAAGGCUUUGACGGGUAGCCGGCCUGAGAGGGUGACCGGCCACAUUGGGACUGAGAUACGGCCCAGACUCCUACGGGAGACAGCAGUGGGGAAUAUUGCACAAGGGGUGGAAGCCUGAUGCAGCAACGCCGUGUGCGGGAUGACGGCCUUCGGGUUGUAAACCGCUUUCGCUCAUGACGAAGCUUUGUGUGACGGUAGUGGGUAAAGAAGCACCGGCUAACUACGUG